rnacentral:misc_RNA from 1 species
CUCUUAAAUUUCUUAAUUUUACAUUGAAAAUGAUUCCAGAAUUGUAUUAAGAUCUUCAUCUUCCCAUACUGUGAGCUAAAAUGUUUGAUAUCAUUAUUUCUAAUACCAAGUUAUCCUAGGUUUUUCCCUUAUGUUAUAAAUGUGAUCAAAUUUUUAUUUAAUUAAUUAAGGGAAAUGACCAAAAAAAUUCGUAACUUUGCUUUUUUUAACAAUUGUAUCCCAAACUAUUUUUUUUAAUAAUUGUACCCCAAACUAUAUAUAUAUAAUUUUUUUUUAACAAUUCUACCCUGAACGUUAGACUUUAGUUCAAUUAAAACCCCACCGUUAAAAUUCCCAUUAAAUCUAACUGGAAGCACUACUAAUCAAAUUAACUCUAAUUGAACUUAAAUUAUUAUAAAUUAAACCCCAAUUAAAAAAUUAAUUAAUAUGAGUAUAAAAAUUGGCCAUUGCAGUGCCAGUUGCAAAGAAGAGCCCAUAAGAGCAAUCCAAGGGAAAGAAAAGAUGUUGAGGAAGAGG